rnacentral:rRNA from 1 species
UACAGAGGGUGCAAGCGUUGUUCGGAAUUAUUGGGCGUAAAGCGCGUGUAGGCGGCUUUGCAAGUCGGGUGUGAAAGCCCUCAGCUCAACUGAGGAAGUGCGCCCGAAACUGCAGAGCUUGAGUACCGGAGAGGAUGGCGGAAUUCCCCAAGUAGAGGUGAAAAUUCGUAGAUAUGGGGGAGGAACACCGGUGGCGAAGGCGGCCAUCUGGACGGUCACUGACGCUGAGACGCGAAAAGCGUGGGUAGCAAACAGG